rnacentral:rRNA from 1 species
AACCUGGUUGAUCCUGCCAGUAGUCAUAUGCUUGUCUCAAAGACUAAGCCAUGCAUGUCUAAGUAUAAGUGUUAUACAGCGAAACUGCGAAUGGCUCAUUAAAACAGUUAUAGUUUAUUUGACAAUCGAAUUUACAUGGAUAACCGUGGUAAUUCUAGAGCUAAUACAUGCUGGUGUGCCCGACUUCGCGGAAGGGCGGUAUUUAUUAGAUAACAAGCCAAUAUUCCUCUGGUCUAUUGUGGUGACUCAUAAUAACUGAUCGAAUCGCAAGGCCUGUGGCCGCGAUAAGUCGUUCAAGUUUCUGCCCCAUCAGCUUUCGAUGGUAGUGUAUUGGACUACCAUGGCGUUUACGGGUAACGGAGGAUUAGGGUUCGAUUCCGGAGAGGGAGCCUGAGAAACGGCUACCACAUCUAAGGAAGGUAGCAGGCGCGUAAAUUACCCAAUCCUGACUCAGGGAGGUAGUGACAAGAAAUAACGGACCGAGGCCCUCGGGCUUCGGGAUUGCAAUGAGCCGAAUUUACACCCCUUAGCGAGGAUCGAUUGGAGGGCAAGUCUGGUGCCAGCAGCCGCGGUAAUUCCAGCUCCAAUAGC